GAAGAACCGCCUCGUUAAGGUUACACAGAACAGGUGUGCUUAAUUAAGGCAUGCAAUGACUACAGUAAGCUGGAGUGCAUUGUUUAGAACAGUUCUGAGGAGCCGCCUAAAUAAGCCAUCUUGCCGUUUUUGAAGCCACCGGAAAGCCACCAGUCGCAGUCGCGAGCACCUUUUUGAAGAGGCCGAGGACGGCAAGUCAGCAGGAGGAAGAUAAAGAGGAGGAGGCUUCACGUCGAAGAUGCCACCGCUCAUAUGUCGCAAGAGCCGGAACUCUUCCUAUUAUGGGUUUUGUUUCUAAGAUGAAAUCAACUGCAGGAGCCACAAUGUGAGCAGUGGAUUGAAAACACCCUCUCAUUAACUGUUGCCCAGCCUUCAGCGGCGUGCCGUUCGUAAAUGUUGGGAAUUGUGAGCGGAAAAGGGCAGAGAGGUGCAUCAUGAUUUGAAUCGCCAUUCCGCCAAACCCCCCAGACCUCCGUGCCUCCUUCGGGGUGACAUUUCAGACGGGCCCUGAGGGCGACUGGAGGGAAGACAUUGAACAAGGAAUCACUCGGGUGUAUGUAGUCAACGUCAAGAUCACAUCAUUCAACGAUCAUUAAGGGGGAAUGUCAGCAGCUCUUCUCUGUACAGCCGUAAUGCUGCAUUCAGGUCAGACCUGGAAGUUUGAUUUUUCUACUUCCCCAGAGGGAAAUGCAACAAGAAUGGCCAAAGAAGUUGGAAUUCAGACUGAGCAGGUCAAAAGUUACCAAUCGGCCACGAGGCAUUUCAGAAGACUGGCCUCGGGGAGGUGUAGUGCAACUUCCCUCCAACUCGCAAGCAAACAUCGACUCCCUCAGCAUGGUUUGCCCUGAAGUUUGGGCAACAAAAAAGAGAAGUGUUUCGCAAGCUCUGUGGCCGCUUCUGCUUGGCCAGCCGGGCUCGCACCCGAGGACAUCCAGUUGAUCGACGUGCCAUCUCAGUCGCAGGCAGGACUUUCAGCGGAGCGUGACCGGCUCCAGCCCGACAACUCGAGGUGCAAUAAUUCUGCUUUGUUGCUUUUUCCAGAGUCCAGAGGGUUCCACCAUGCUCAAAGAACAUCAGUGUUUUUUGCCUGAGCGAGAAAUCACAUUUACAGGCGUCCAGCUUGAUCUUUUCCAUUCGGAACAGAAGGACGUGAUAUAUUAGCAGUAGGUUGAUCCCAACAGAAUGAUAAAACGCUCCAAAAUGAGCUCAUGUGUGGCCUUCCGAGCGUGUGGAACAGCCACUCUUUUAUCCAGCGUUUGGGAAAGUUUGCGGUUUCAAUGUUAUUCCACAACUUAGCAUUAUUCUGCUCUUACAACAAGUCAACGCUGCCCAGCACUCAAGUAUCAAUAAGCCCACAGUCUCUCACCUCUCGCCUCAUGGUAUUAAUAAUACAAAGGCAUCCAUAAAACGGGAGCUGUGCUUGUGUUAAAGAACAACUAGACAGGGCUAUUUCCAAGGUCAUCACAGUGCUGAAAUGUUAUCCUCUCCACACACACACACACACACAC